GAUGAACGCUGGCGGCGUGCCUAAUACAUGCAAGUCGAGCGAACAGACGAGGAGCUUGCUCCUCUGACGUUAGCGGCGGACGGGUGAGUAACACGUGGAUAACCUACCUAUAAGACUGGGAUAACUUCGGGAAACCGGAGCUAAUACCGGAUAAUAUAUUGAACCGCAUGGUUCAAUAGUGAAAGACGGUUUUGCUGUCACUUAUAGAUGGAUCCGCGCCGCAUUAGCUAGUUGGUAAGGUAACGGCUUACCAAGGCAACGAUGCGUAGCCGACCUGAGAGGGUGAUCGGCCACACUGGAACUGAGACACGGUCCAGACUCCUACGGGAGGCAGCAGUAGGGAAUCUUCCGCAAUGGGCGAAAGCCUGACGGAGCAACGCCGCGUGAGUGAUGAAGGCCUUCGGAUCGUAAAACUCUGUUAUUAGGGAAGAACAAAUGUGUAAGUAACUAUGCACGUCUGGACGGUACCUAAUCAGAAAGCCACGGCUAACUACGU
rnacentral:rRNA from 1 species